GAGCUAUGUACAGCUGAACGCUGAAUAAACUGAAAACACACUGUGAAAGGGUUAAAGUUCUGCGUCAAAAACACGGACAACUACCAUUUAGUGUCUAUUUGACACUAAAUGGUACCAGGAUUUACUAAGUGAACAUCAUAGUGUAUUGAAGAAGACUUGAAACUAGCAAUUGAGACCAUAAAGUCAUUUUCUCAUAGACUUCUAUACAAUCAGACUUCUUUUUGCAACCAGAGGAGUCGCCCCCUGCUGGUUAUGAGAAAGAAUGCAGCACUUCCGUAUUGGCUUCACUUUUCAGACUCCGGAGUUGCCCACUGAUCUUUUCACAAUGAUCUACAAAAGCAACAAACCGUGGUUCAUUUUACAAACAAUGAAACCCUUCCUGUGAGCACCCGAGCAUCCUUCGAAGACAAAUUGAUCGUAUAACCUCCUUAAAGGCCAGCAGUUACAUCAGCAUCAGAUGCCGAGACAAUGAGCGACAGCUACGACGCAGACCUACAAUUUCAGCAGAUCUGCUGCAAUCGGGCCUUAUUUGGCAUCCCAGGGAAGAAAAAAAGGAAGGAAGGAGGCGCUGGCCAAAAUUCCACAUCAGGUUUUUAUCAAACCAAGACUGAUGUGGUGUCAGCAGCAGCAGCAGCAGCCUUUAAACGUCCUCUAUGAAAGCUAGAUAACAAUAUCUGGAGGCUAUCAGGUCAGCCAUUUUAAGGCCUGAAGUCUCUCCUUCAAGUA